UGUGCACUACUUUUGCUGGUUAAAUUUCGACGAACCAGCAAAAGUAGUGCACGUAU
rnacentral:pre_miRNA from 1 species